rnacentral:rRNA from 1 species
UACGUAGGCAGCAAGCGUUGCUCGGAUUUACUGGGCGUAAAGGGCGCGUAGGCGGACAUUUAAGUCGGGGGUGAAAGCCCGGGGCUCAACCUCGGAAUUGCCUUCGAUACUGGAUGUCUUGAGUGUGAGAGAGGUGUGUGGAACUCCGAGUGUAGAGGUGAAAUUCGUAGAUAUUCGCAAGAACACCAGUGGCGAAGGCGGCUCACUGGCCCGGUACUGACGCUGAGGUGCGAAAGCGUGGGGAGCAAACAGG